UGGGCUAGACAACGGCGGACCUUCCUAGAAAUAGGACUUUCCCUUCGGGGACCGCUGGUUCAGGUGCUGCAUGGCUGUCGUCAGCUCGUGCCGUGAGGUGUUGGGUUAAGUCCCGCAACGAGCGCAAACCUCGUCCUUAGUUGCCACCAUUCAGUUGGGCACUCUAGGGAGACUGCCGGCGUUAAGCCGGAGGAAGGUGGGGAUGACGUGUCCUUGAUAGG
rnacentral:misc_RNA from 1 species